AGGCCCUACUGAAAAUGUCCACAGAAGGAGGGUUUGGCGGUACAAGCAGCAGUGAUGCCCAGCAAAGCCUCCAGUCCUUCUGGCCCAGAGUCAUGGAAGAAAUCCGAAACCUAACAGUGAAAGAAUUCCGAGUACAGGAACUCCCACUGGCUCGUAUUAAGAAGAUUAUGAAACUGGAUCAAGAUGUGAAGAUGAUCAGUGCAGAAGCACCUGUGCUGUUUGCUAAGGCAGCCCAGAUUUUUAUCACUGAGCUGACUCUUCGAGCCUGGAUCCACACAGAGGAUAACAAGCGUUGAACUCUUCAGAGGAAUGAUAUUGCUAUGGCAAUUACAAAAUUUGAUCAGUUCGACUUUCUCAUCGAUAUUGUUCCAAGAGAUGAACUGAAACCUCCAAAGUGCGAGGAGGAGGUACGCCAGUCUGUGACUCCUGCGGAACCUGUCCAGGACUACUUCACGCUGGCUCAGCAGCCCACUGCUGUCCAGGUCCAGGGGCAGCAGCAAGACCAGCAGACCACCAGUUCUACAACCACCAUCCAACCUGGCCAGAUGAUCAUUGAACAGCCUCAGCAGGGUCAGACCAUACCUGUGACCAUGCAGGUUGGAGAAGGUCAGCAGGUGCAGACUGUGCAGGCCCAACCUCAGGGUCAGGCCCAGAGUGGCACUGGACAGACCAUGCAGGUGAUGCAGCAGAUCAUUACCAACACAGGAGAGAUCAAACAGAUCCUGGUGCAGCUGAAUGCUGGCCAGCUGCAAUAUAUCCGCUUAGCCCAGCCUGUAUCAGGCACCCAACUGGUCCAGGGACAGAUCCAGACACUUGCUACCAAUGCCCAACAGAUCACACAGACAGAGGUCCAGCAAGGACAGAAGCAGUUCAUCCAGUUCACAGAUGGACAGCAGCUGUACCAGAUCAAGCAAGUCACCAUGCCUGCAGGCUAAGACCUCGCCCAGCCCAUGUUUAUUCAGUCAGCCAAUCAGCCCUCUGAUGGGCAGACCCCCCAGGUGACUGGAGACUGAGGGCCUGAGCUGGCAAAGCCAAAGACACCCAACACAAUAUUUGCCAUAGAGCUCCAGGCACUGGGGACAUACCCUCCCUCGCCAGAGGACCCAGGACUUCAUUACCUCCUGCAGGCUAAGAUACUGGUGCACUACUUUCCAUGCCUGGGGACUGAGACUCUACAACAGAAAGAUGCAAUACUUUUUAUUUUCUUUUUUUCCAUUUUUGUCUCCAAGGAAUCAAUAUUUCAAUAUUUUGAGCUAUGUGUCCAAUGCUAUGAAAUGAGAAUAUUAAAUAACAUAUUUAUGGCCUUUUCUUGAAACGUGUGGUCGAAGAAGUAAUUCUCUUGUGUGUUUCCUGGCUUGGGCACUCUCCACCACUGCUAAGGGGCAGCCUAUGCUCUCCCUUCCUAAG